GACGAACGCUGGCGGCGUGCUUAAUACAUGCAAGUCGAACGGAAAGGCCCUGCUUUUGCUUCUUUCUUGUUUGGCGAACGGGUGUGUAUCACGUGAGUAACCUCCCCUUGACUUUCUGGUAACUUUACGAAAAACGGGCUCUUACCCGAUAUGAUCUUCUGCUGCAUGUUGUGCAUUGGAAAGUUUCGGCGGUUGGGGAUGUACUCGCGGCUUAUCCGCUUGUUUGUGGGGUAGUGACUUACCAAGGCUUCGAGGGGUAGCCGGCCUGAGAGGGUGACCGGCCACAUUGGGACUGAGAUACGGCACAGACUGCGAAGGGAGGCAGAAGUGGGGAAUAUUGCACAAUGGGCGGAAGCCUGAUGAAGCAACGCCGCGUGCGGGAUAACGGCCUUCGGGGUGUAAACCGAUUUCGCCAGUGACGAAGCGUGAGUGACGGUAAUGGGUAAAGAAGCACCGGCUAACUACGUG
rnacentral:rRNA from 1 species